CUUACAGUCAUCUUUGGCAUUCUGUCCACCUCCUUCUAUACAUAUAUGCAUGUGUAUAUAUAUAUAUGCGUUUCGUGUGAAAGAAGGAGGUGGGUAUACUGCCAAUAGAGAUCUGUUAG